rnacentral:rRNA from 1 species
GACAAACGCUGGCGGCGUGCCUAAUACAUGCAAGUCGAACGACGAAAGCCUUCGGGCAAGUAAGAGUGGCGCACGGGCGAGGAACACGUAGAUAAUCUGCCCUUCAGUGGGGAAUAACUCUCCGAAAGGAGUGCUAAUACCGCAUAAGACCACAAGCUCUGCGGAGCAAGGGGUUAAAGGAUUUAUUCGCUGAAGGAUGAGUCUGCGUCCGAUUAGCUAGUUGGUGAGGUAAUGGCUUACCAAGGCAAUGAUCGGUAGAUGGUCUGAGAGGAUGAUCAGCCGGACUGGAACUGAGACACGGUCCAGACUCCUACGGGAGGCAGCAGUAGGGAAUAUUUCACAAUGGGGGAAACCCUGAUGCAGCAACGCCGCGUGAGCGAUGAAGGCUCUAGGGUCGUAAAGCUCUGUCGUAUGGGAAGAAAAAAAUGACGGUACCAUACAAGAAAGGACCGGCCAACUUCGUGCCAGCAGCCGCAGUAA